GCUGCCAUGCUGAGGAUGGGUUACAGAGGCUGCGGCAGAAGGAGGGGACCAGUUGGGAGCUGAUGGUGGCCUGGAUAAGAAUACAGGCUGACAAGACAGGAUUUGAUUAUAUACUGGAUCCCAAGUGAAAAUUGAAGGAUGGCACUGAGGUUUUGUUUAUUUAUUUCUUUGCUUAUUAAUUUAUUCUAAGUACACAUGUGUCAACUUUGUUUAUGCUACAACAGACACUUAUUUUGUACCAUUGUCAGUUGUGUAAGUGUUCCUUCCACUGGACUGUGGGCUUCGCUAGUGUCCAGUGCUUUUAUUUUUUCAUCUUUGAUCUCCAUAAAAUCUCUGUAGGAGGCACUCCUGCAAGAAGAAUGUGUGACAAAACUGAAAGAACCAUAUGACUGGGAGUCCAAGAAACUCUUUUUUGGGAACCCCUGUGUGAGUGCAGAGGAAGAAAACAGGGGCGUUUUUUUCCUUACUGGCUGGGGACACAGGCAAGCGGUGCAGUUAUGAGGGUAAAACUCAGGACCAGUGCCUGGUGGGGUGGACUCUGAAGGCGUUUGAAGGUCAAAGGAGAUCUGGACUUUGGGAUGUCCCUGGUGGAUGGAUGAAGAAACUGGGACUCAGAGAGGUUAAGGAUCGGCCCAGGAAUUUCAAAUUCGAUCACCAAAGUUGCUGCAAAUUUGGGCCUCUCCAACUGACACCAGCCAGAGAAAGCUUCAUUUGUCUUUGCAAGGCCUCCCUCAAUCCACACUCUUUUUGGAAAAGAUGCUGGAAAUUCUGUGCUCCACGAGUUGAUACUGGCAAGUAUUCUGCUGGUUUGGGUAACUCCGGGCCCACAAGAUAGAAUCCUGGCUCCCUGGGAUUAGGACACCGCAAGGGGUCAUCUAGCGACUCCUUUGCUUCUAGGGAGGGACACACCCAAACCUUCCAGCAAAAUGUCUCUCCUUUCCAUAAGCGCAGCGCUUCACUGAGUGCGGAACCAGCGGCCCUUUACGCACACGCGCUCCCUCAGGCUGCACCAGGGCUCUACUGGAUAAAGCUGGAUGGAACCUGUGACACCGCUGAUGUGCAACUACUUUUGUCCUGAA